rnacentral:rRNA from 1 species
UGAGGAAUAUUGGACAAUGGGCGCAAGCCUGAUCCAGCCAUGCCGCGUGCAGGAUGACGGUCCUAUGGAUUGUAAACUGCUUUUGUACAGGAAGAAACAGUUCUACGUGUAGAACCUUGAUGGUACUGUAAGAAUAAGGAUCGGCUAACUCCGUGCCAGCAGCCGCGGUAAUACGGAGGAUCCAAGCGUUAUCCGGAAUCAUUGGGUUUAAAGGGUCCGUAGGCGGUUAGAUAAGUCAGUGGUGAAAGCCCAUCGCUCAACGGUGGAACGGCCAUUGAUACUGUCUGACUUGAAUUAUUAGGAAGUAACUAGAAUAUGUAGUGUAGCGGUGAAAUGCUUAGAGAUUACAUGGAAUACCAAUUGCGAAGGCAGGUUACUACUAAUGGAUUGACGCUGAUGGACGAAAGCGUGGGUAGCGAACAGGAUUAGAUACCCAUGUAGUCCCUGAGCGGGCUGGCAAGGCGCAU